GGUCCUCUCUGUGAUCUUUACCUUUUCUUUUCAGUUGUCCUUAUAACAAGAAGUACAAAAUAGAAGAAAAAGUGGAGUCUCCUUCUUCCUCAGCCCUUGAAAACCACCGGAGAGCAGGUGGAGAGGCCAUGCUCACGGACAGGCCCCGAGGCGUGCUGCCCCUCUUCCGGACAGAGUCCACCGGCCGGCCUAGAGGCUGCUCCCAAGGAUGGAGCCCUGACGUCAUUCAACACCAAGCCCUUUGAGAAGUUGGGAAAUGGAGAUUCUGGGAGCAUCCCUGGCAGCAGUUGAGCUGUCCAACCAGCCAGCUGGCCUUUAGGCUUCGAAUGGAAUGGAAUUUCCUUCAGAAGGAGCAGCUGCAGGUCACUGGUCAGAGUUCCUGGUGGGUGGUCACUGAGGAUGGCUGCCGGCUCAGAGGGUCAAUGGUGUACAACAGAAGCAUCCAGGAACCUCUGCUGCACGGCCAUGACCUCUGCCCUCCAGAAGCCAACGUCCAAAAAAGAGAAAAGACAGAUCUAUUUCUCAUCUACAGAAAUAUAAAAAGGUAAAUGCUGGAAGUUGCCUUAAGAAUUCAAGGAAAAGUAGAAACAAACAAACAAACAAGAAGCCUUUGCAAAUGGCAAAAACCAAUCAACCAACUGAAGUUCAGGAGAAGAAAAUCGUUAGCAAAACAGUUGAGGGAGAUGCAUGUUUUCUCAACCUGCAUGUUCGUUUUCUCAACAUGGGUGUUUGUUUUCUCCUUUGCACAUAUUCUUUCCGUAGUAGCAGGUCCUUAAGUCUCCCUCUGUUUCUCCAUAGACUAUCUGACUAUGAUCCCAGGUGCAUCAGGAAUCCCACUUUGCCCAUGAGAAUUUUUUCUCACCCUCUAACCCUACCUUUGCUGCUCACACAUGGCCUUGAGCAGCUUGCCUUCCUGACUAGGCUGUAGACCCUGCACAUCCAGAGCUCUGUGAGUGACAGUAUCUCGUUGAGCUGAGCACAGAGCUUUCCAGAGGAGCCAGGGGAGCAGGAUCUCCAUCAGCCCUGGCCCGGGGCCUGCCUGGGGCACAGAGUUUUUCUGACUCUCUGCCUGGUCCCCUUCUUGGUGAAACAGGGACCACAUUCCUCUGUCCUGUUUCUUUCCUCACCAGAAAGGAGAGAACCAAAGAGAUGUUUAUUUUCCUAUUCAAAAGAUAAGGUACCAGGGAAACAGGAAGGGUUAUGAGCUGUCCGGGAGGUUUAUGACAGUAAUUGCUAUUAUCCAGAUUAUAAAGAUUUUCUUAGAAAACCAAAAGUUUUCCCAUCGAACAGAACUGGACUAUUAAAAAAUAAAUAAAAGGGAAGCAAAGAAAAACCUUCUACAGCCUUCUGCAGGAUGUGGUUAUCAGGCAUCUGAGGACUUUUUUUUAAAAAAGAUAUGUAUAUAUUGUAUUUAUAGCAGUCACAAGUUAAUGCAGGCAGGUCCAUAAAACAGGAAUUAACAGUAAAAUAUAUAGUCCAUACUCAACUCUACACUUAAAAUCGUUAAGAUGAUCAACUUUGUGUUAUGUGUAUUUUAUCACAAUUAAAAAUGUAAAAAAAGUACUGUCCAUGGUUGACACCAACCAUUCGAAUACAUGUAACAAGUUGAAAAUGGAAGCGGUGAGAGCAGCUCAAAAUAAUGGUGGAAGAUGGGCUAAACUAUUUUGGCCUAAUUGAAGGGCAAGUGAAGUCAAUAACUGU